rnacentral:rRNA from 1 species
UACGUAGGGUCCGAGCGUUGUCCGGAAUUACUGGGCGUAAAGAGCUCGUAGGUGGUUUGUCGCGUUGUUCGUGAAAACUCACAGCUCAACUGUGGGCGUGCGGGCGAUACGGGCAGACUAGAGUACUGCAGGGGAGAUUGGAAUUCCUGGUGUAGCGGUGGAAUGCGCAGAUAUCAGGAGGAACACCGGUGGCGAAGGCGGGUCUCUGGGCCGAUACUGACGCUGAGGAGCGAAAGCGUGGGGAGCGAACAGG